UAUGUAAAAACAGAUCUACUAGAGGGAACGUCCUGCACCAUAAAGCUUCCAACAAAAAACACUGACAAAUCUAAUGAGAUCACAUGGCUCCAUCUCUCUAGUGAUGCCGUGAUUCACAGGAAAAAUGGGAAGAUCAAGAAACCCAUUCCAGGUCUAACAAUGGAAGAAGAUGGAUCAUUAACAUUUGAAAGUGUUAGUCUGAAGAACAGCGGCAAAUAUAAAUACACUGUUUAUAAUAGUGACGGUACAGAGAUUAAUGCUGGAGAAAAGGAAAUUAAAGUUUAUGCAAAGGCUCCUAAACCUACUCUGACCAUCAACUACAAAGAUGGGAUCUCUACACUCACCUGUGACUUCAGAGAGCGUCCAGAUCUGACUGUAUCCUGGUAUAAAGAAGAAAUAAUCAUCCAGAAU